rnacentral:rRNA from 1 species
AGCGAACGCUGGCGGCAGGCCUAACACAUGCAAGUCGAACGAACUCUUCGGAGUUAGUGGCGGACGGGUGAGUAACACGUGGGAACGUGCCUUUUGGUUCGGAAUAACUCAGGGAAACUUGUGCUAAUACCGAAUGUGCCCUUCGGGGGAAAGAUUUAUCGCCAUUAGAGCGGCCCGCGUCUGAUUAGCUAGUUGGUGAGGUAACGGCUCACCAAGGCGACGAUCAGUAGCUGGUCUGAGAGGAUGACCAGCCACACUGGGACUGAGACACGGCCCAGACUCCUACGGGAGGCGGCAGUGGGGAAUCUUGCGCAAUGGGCGAAAGCCUGACGCAGCCAUGCCGCGUGAAUGAUGAAGGUCUUAGGAUUGUAAAAUUCUUUCACCGGGGACGAUAAUGACGGUACCCGGAGAAGAAGCCCCGGCUAACUUCGUG